GCAUCCAUGUCUUGUAAUUGGAAUGAGUAUAAAUUAAAUGCCUUUACAAGUAUCAAUUGGAGGGCAAGUCUGGUGCCAGCAGCCGCGGUAAUUCCAGCUCCAAUAGCGUAUAUUAAAGUUGUUGUGGUUAAAAAGCUCGUAGUUGGAUUUCUGCUGAGGACGACCGGUCCGCCCUCUGGGUGAGUAUCUGGCUCUGCCUUGGCAUCUUUUUGGAGAACGUUGCUGCACUUGACUGUGUGGUGCGGGAUUCAAGACAUUUA
rnacentral:rRNA from 1 species